CCUGAGAAACCCAAAAGAUCGAAUGGGGAGAUUCAUCGUCAGCGCAUUUUGUAUAUGUAAAAUUUAUGAUAUGGGUUACUCUUGUAGUAUUGCCUAUACAUAAUUGUACAUUUAGUUGCAUAAUGUUGUCGGCGUGCACUUCUCCCCUAGUAGGACGUCGCGACUCGUUGAGUGUUGGUUUACGGACUAAGUAGAAGACUUUAAUAAUUAAAAAAUAUUAAAGACUCUUAGUAUUUUCUAACCAGCUGCUCGGCGAUAUUCUUAUGGUAUUAAGCCGCAUUUAUAAUGCGUCCAUAUCCGUCACAAGCGAGGCUAGUUUUUGAUAGUACGGACUUAGUGCCGUCGUUAAAUCUGGCCAGCUGUUGGUUGUUACGGUAUUCUAGGACUGGCUAAAAAAAAAUAAAUAAUUACCGGUCAGCGAUGCUACUGCUUUGGGUACUUUCAGGACCCGUCUUGAAACACGGACCAAGGAGUCUAACAUGUACGCAAGUCAUUGGGAUUAUUUUUUUUUUUUAAAUUAAACCUAAAGGCGUAAUGAAAGUAAAGGUCGYCCUUGKGUCRAUUGAGGGAGGAUAAAUUAUAUUAAUUUAUAAUUUCSCACUCCKGGGGSGUCUCAUUCUCAUUAUGAGAGGAGGCGCACCUAG
rnacentral:rRNA from 1 species